rnacentral:rRNA from 1 species
AACGAACGCUGGCGGCGUGUUUAAGACAUGCAAGUCGCACGGGAUAAGACAUGUAGUAAUACUUGUUUUAUUUAGUGGCGCACGGGUGAGUAACACGUGAAUUACAUGCCCUAUAGUGGGGAAUAGCCCAGGGAAACUUGGAUUAAUACCCCAUGGUAUCGAAAGAUUAAAGGUGGCCGCAAGGCUGUCGCUAUAGGAUUGGUUCGCGCCCUAUCAGCUUGUUGGUGAGGUAACGGCGCACCAAGGCCAUGAGGGGUACCUGGUCUGAGAGGACGAGCCGUCACACUGGAACUGAGACACGGUCCAGACACCUACGGGUGGCAGCAGUCGAGAAUAAUUCACAAUGGGGGCAACCCUGAUGGUGCAACGCCGCGUGGAGGAUGACGGUCUUCGGAUUGUAAACUCCUGUCAUCUGGGAGAAAGACCUGACGGUAAAUAGCCGGCAGGGUUGAUAGUACCAGAAGAGGAAGGGACGGCUAACUUCGUGCCAGCCGCCGCCGUAA